UGAGGCAGCUGACCUGAGAUUUUUCGAUUGGGAUGAAAGUGGGAAAAAAAUGGAGAUUGUAGAGCUUCCAAGUCACCCUUUUUUAUGUGGGAAUGCAUUUCCAUUUCAUGUACGGCCUCCUAGGUCUUAUAUUGGCAGCAAGUGGGACAGUUGCAAGCGUACGUUGACAAGCAGCAAAAUGGAAACUA